GCACCCGUAGCUCAGUUGGUUAGAACACUACCUUGACAUGGUAGGGGGCGGUGGUUCGAGUCCACUCGGGUGUGCCA
rnacentral:tRNA from 1 species